rnacentral:rRNA from 1 species
AAAGCAUUUCAGCUUUUAAAUAUAAAAAAGUCUGACAUUAAGCAGGGUUGGGCUUGGUUAGUACUUGGAUGGGAGACCACCUAGGAACACCAGGUGCUGUA